UACGUAGGGUGCGAGCGUUGUCCGGAUUUAUUGGGCGUAAAGAGCUUGUAGGCGGCUCGUCGCGUCGGGUGUGAAAACUUGCGGCUUAACCGCAAGCCUGCACCCGAUACGGGCGGGCUAGAGUUCGGCGGGGGAGACUGGAAUUCCUGGUGUAGCGGUGGAAUGCGCAGAUAUCAGGAGGAACACCGGUGGCGAAGGCGGGUCUCUGGGCCGAUACUGACGCUGAGAAGCGAAAGCGUGGGGAGCGAACAGG
rnacentral:rRNA from 1 species